GACAGAGGGUGCAACCGUUGUUCGGAAUUACUGGGCGUAAAGAGCUCGUAGGUGGUUUGUCGCGUUGUCCGUGAAAACUCACAACUCAAUUGUGGGCGUGCGGGCGAUACGGGCAGACUGGAGUACUGCAGGGGAGACUGGAAUUCCUGGUGUAGCGGUGAAAUGCGUAGAUAUCAGGAGGAACACCGGUGGCGAAGGCGCUCAUCUGGCCCGAUACUGACGCUGAGGCGCGAAAGCUAGGGUAGCGAACGGG
rnacentral:rRNA from 1 species